ACUCCUAUCUUCCGAUCGUUUUUGAUCCUGAGCCCUUCUCCCAACUCCUCAUCUCACGCGGCCUUCUCCAUCUAACUCCUCUCCGGCAAACCCCUCUCUGGCGAACCCCUCUCCGUGAACCACUCCUCCGAACUCCUCUCCGUCAAGACCACGGGAUUAAUCUCUUCGCCUUCGUCGCCUCAUUCACGCUUCCUUCACACUGCCCAAUCUCUUUGAUCACACCUUCAUCAAGCGGCAGAUCCCGAUGCUGAGGCGAUCGACCACGACAGAUCGACCCAUCUCUUUGCCUCCUUCGCCCCCGACGUUGAGGCAGUGUAAGCACAGCAGAUCCCAUUGUCUUCUGGUAUGCUACUAUAACCCCAAUGAUUCCUUGUCCUAGUACAAAAGGCUUUGCACCGGAAAAGAAGUGGUGUCUCCUGCCUCCGUUCCUCUUGUCUUGGCGGCGAUAGCGAGGCGCUUCGCUUGAGCUCUUCCCGAUCACCUCACCUGUUUUCCUUCUUCCUGUCCUCUAUAUCUCUCACAGUGUUGGCGGUGGGGACAAGAGGUUAGUCUCAUGAAGCUUUGAAGCUGCCAGAACAGUUGUCAUUUUAAAUUGAGCUGAAAAAUUCGAUCAACAGAGCAUUGUGCUCCUUGUUAUGGUUGUUGCCCCGGGCAACAGCAGCAAUCUAGUGUUUUGUGUGGUUUCAUUUUUUACUUGAGCAUUUUACUUGGUACAGUUUUCCAAGGGACUGGUUACAUCUAUCUGGGUUUUGAUUUGAGUCAAAGGCUGCAAUGACGAUGUUAAAUCCUUAAAUAAAUUCUCUACUCCAUGUGUGUUUUCCUUCUUUACUUCGGCAGACUUUGUGGUGGUAGUCAUGUCCAAGGAACUGGUUAGGUCGGCAGCUGCACAACAAGAAGAGCGCAUGCUAUCCGCAAAGCUUCAUCAGAUGACAAUGCUGGAUUCAUGAUUGAUAUGUUAAAGGAGUGUGGAUUAUCUCACAAAUCAAUAAUUUUUAUCUUGGAUGAGUUUGAUCUUUUUGCUCAGGGGAAAUAACGUUUACUUUAUAGUUUGCUUGAUGCAAUGCAAACAAUGACUUCACAGGCUGUAGUUUUUGGUGUUAGCUGCCGACAGAUAUGUAGUCUCCACAUCUCUCAUUUUUCUUUACAUUCAUAUUCAUGUCAAUAUACACUGGGCCACCCAUAUUUUUUAAUCUCUUUUAAAAAAGACAAGUAAAAGGAAAAA